UACGUAGGGGGCUAGCGUUGUCCGGAAUCAUUGGGCGUAAAGCGCGUGUAGGCGGAUGAGCAAGUCUGCUGUGAAAGCUCCUGGCUUAACCGGGAGUGGUCGGUGGAAACUGCUCGUCUGGAGGACGGUAGAGGUAGGUAGAAUUCCCGGUGUAGUGGUGAAAUGCGUAGAGAUCGGGAGGAAUACCUGUGGCGAAGGCGGCCUACUGGGCCGGACCUGACGCUGAGACGCGAAGGCGUGGGGAGCGAACGGG
rnacentral:rRNA from 1 species